AGCUAAAUAGGGAACAGCGUUAGCCUUUUAAGCUAAAGAAUGGUGACUCCCAACCACCCAUAGUGA
rnacentral:tRNA from 1 species